UGGGGAAUUUUGGACAAUGGGCGCAAGCCUGAUCCAGCCAUGCCGCGUGCGGGAAGAAGGCCUUCGGGUUGUAAACCGCUUUUGUCAGGGAAGAAAUCUUCUGAGUUAAUACCUCGGGAGGAUGACGGUACCUGAAGAAUAAGCACCGGCUAACUACGUGCCAGCAGCCGCGGUAAUACGUAGGGUGCAAGCGUUAAUCGGAAUUACUGGGCGUAAAGCGUGCGCAGGCGGUUUUGUAAGACAGAGGUGAAAUCCCCGGGCUCAACCUGGGAACUGCCUUUGUGACUGCAAGGCUUGAGUGCGGCAGAGGGGGAUGGAAUUCCGCGUGUAGCAGUGAAAUGCGUAGAUAUGCGGAGGAACACCGAUGGCGAAGGCAAUCCCCUGGGCCUGCACUGACGCUCAUGCACGAAAGCGUGGGGAGCAAACAGGAUUAGAUACCCUGGUAGUCCACGCCCUAAAACGAUGUCAACUGGUUGUUGGGAAGGUUCCUUCUCAGUAACGUAGCUAACGCGUGAAGUUGACCGCCCGGGGAGUACGGCCGCAAGGGUUGAAACCAAAGGAAUUGACGGGGUCAUAGCUGUUUCCUG
rnacentral:rRNA from 1 species